UACGUAGGGUGCGAGCGUUGUCCGGAAUUACUGGGCGUAAAGAGCUCGUAGGCGGUUUGUCGCGUCGUCCGUGAAAACUCACAGCUCAACUGUGGGCGUGCGGGCGAUACGGGCAGACUUGAGUACUGCAGGGGAGACUGGAAUUCCUGGUGUAGCGGUGGAAUGCGCAGAUAUCAGGAGGAACACCGGUGGCGAAGGCGGGUCCUCUGGGCAGUAACUGACGCUGAGGAGCGAAAGCGUGGGGAGCGAACAGG
rnacentral:rRNA from 1 species